ensembl:lncRNA
GGGCUGUUGGAGGACGCCAUAAACAAAGCGUGCUGCACGUGCGUUACUUGCCUCUUCUUUUCAGAUAAAUGUAGUUAAACUGGACAAACAGUCACACCUGUCAAGUCCAUAAAAACUCAACGUUGGAAGAGAAAUGAAUGCAUCUCUGAGGCUGGUCUAGCACAGAGCAGGCCUGCUCAUGUCAUGCUGGGAUCAGAAUGAUGUUCUCAAAAACCCAACCCUUGCAUUCGCUUCGAGUAUUUUACUUUAUUAAGAGCCCUGAGACUGACAGGUGAGAGGGGGUGUGCUGUAAACUCAAUGCACGGGAAGCGUCAUCACUUGUCUACAGUGACAGGAAGCUAGAUAAUAAUACUGACAGUCUGCGAACAGCUUGUGAGGGAGACAGACUGACAGUGGAGAUGUCACAAGUCCAGGCGCACCAGAAGAGCUGAGGUGUGUGUUACAGCUAUGCCUGAUGCCCCCCGUGUAGUAGUUUGAGGUCUGGAAUGUUCUGGGGUUUAUAAACAGUUAGGCUACAUUUAUGUCAGUUACCACACACUCUUCCCUCCAAUAAUAAAAU